AGCCGCUGCUGCCGGGACCUCCUCCUCCGCGCCUGGCCCGCCGCCCGCGCUCUGUUCGCCGUCGCCCGGAGGAUCUCUGGCGCCGCCGCCCGCGGCCGGGCUGUUGGCCGCGCAGUCCCCAUCCGAGCCCAGGGAGUCGUCUCCCGCCGCCGACAGCGGGGACGGCGCGUCGCUGCCGCCCGCACCCUCCAGGUCACUGCCCGGCUUGUCCCCGUGGGCCGCGCGAGGGGCGAACACCUCCAACUUCAUGCCCGCGCACCCAGUCCCUCCCCGGCGUCGUACCCUCUUCUUUCGCGCAGUCUAGGGAAGCUGGUGCCAGGGAAGGGGAUGGCGAUCCGGGGCCGGGGAUCUUCGCCUUUUUCUCCCAGGAGCUCUACCCUGGUCUUCCGAGACAGUCACUUUUCCGGAGUCCUCUUCCGCUGGGCUUUUUCUUUGGAGGGGCUGUCUCUGCCUGGGAGGUAUAUUCAUGAAGCAGGGAUGCAUUUCACACCAUCACAGUCUACAACAAAACUCAGAAUGUUUUCCAGAUCAAAAUCUACCUGACGGUGAGUCGCAUUGAGCCAGGGUGAUGAGAAGUUCACUCUGCAUCUUUCCCGGAACUCUCCUGGAGAUCCCAUCUAGCAACCUCUGUUCGUAUCUGAUUGACACCCCUGAGUUGCAGGAAAGGCUGGGAAAUGUGUUGCUGCCCUGAAAGAAACUGGGAUCCUGUAACUAAAAAAGAUAGGUAAACAUGGUGAUAGAGACAAAGAUGAGGACUCCAUGUCUGUCUUUUGGGUUGCUAGCUUUGAAGAGGAUCACAACACAAUAUGGAUUCGGGAGUGUAACCAGGAAUGUAAUUAGGAAUGCAAUGCGGAGGAAGGGCAAGGCCUGUCCCUUUCUUCUUCAGCUGCUGUGUGGUGCCAGGGUCCUGCCUGCCCAUCUGAGGACAUGCCUGCUCAUCACCCACGUGCAUCCUGUCACAGUGGGACUGCGUGUGUUCCCUGCUCAUUGUCACUUCCAUGGUUUUGCUGAUUCUAUGCGAUUCUUCCAGGCCACUCCAAGUUCCACCUCUUCCACGAAGCCCUCCUUGAUUGCUGGGCCCUGGUUGAACUUAUUAGUAACACCCAGGUUACUUCUACUUAAUUCUUGCCUCCAGCCAAAGUGGACUUAGAACCUCCUUGCAUGCCUGGUAAAGUCAAGGUGUUCAGCCAGGGCCUGGGUAUAAAGCGGAAGCAACACAGUGUCUGGUUUGAAGCUUAGGGCUUGGGUUCAGACGGUUGUGGGUUACAAUCCCUUCUACGCGUGUUGCCUGUGGAAACCCUUUGGUUCUCUGUGCCUGGAGCUCGCCUGUAAUGGGACAAAACCAUCUCACCUAGAUUGUUGUUCUGAGGAUUGAAUUAGGUGAUUCUGAAAGGUGUUUAUGAGUCUUCCCUGAUUGACAAUCCAUGAAAAGUGGGCGUUAUUGCUGAAGCUCACAGAAGAAAUAUGAAAUUUGAUUAUAUCCUGAUUCAUGGCAUUGGGUCACCACCUCAGCAGUUUUUAUGAAAGUAGCGUCUGACCUGGCAAAGGCUGUGUCAUCUUAUUAUCUCAGAAAGGCAAAUUUACGGGGUCAGAUGAUGGACGGCCAGGUUUCAGGCUUGCAGAUUUCUCAAUGGGGUGGAAGGAAGGAGAGAAAAAGAGAGACAGGAGAGAGUACACACUUAAUUCUACUUCUCCUAGGGUGAUGUUUCCUUCUUCCCCUUCCAGAGUUCUCAAAAAGGCAUUCUAGGAAGUCCUGUAAAAUACAUGCUCAUACAACAUCUCCUAAUUUCCACAAAUUGUUGAGAAUUUAAAAACUCAGUUGGGGGUUUGCUGUUCUAGCCUGAGACACCAGGGUCACGUUUCAGUGCUUGCAGUCUUGACAGUACCAGGCAUCUGGGAUGAAGUUGGGGAAAGAAGGUCUGGUGACCCUGCUGGCCUGCCUCUCUUGAAAGAUGCUUACUGGCUGCUGGCUCCAUCACUGGUGUGUCACAGGGCUUUAGGAUUUGGAAAAGCAGAGGAUGUAAAACAAGACGGAAUGGUCAGAAUUUAGAGAACCAUGUGCCAAAGUGCCAUCUUUAGGGUGCUCAUAACACGACCCUACGACAUUAGAGGUGCUGGAAUCAUGGAAGAGGAAUCCAGACUCUGUAAUCUUCUUCCCCCUGGAAAAUCUUUGCUGGAACUGGGGGAUUGGAAGCUGUCAACACAUGAGCCAUCUUCUGCUCUGUUCAAGAUGGUAGGGGCGUUCUCGACACGCCCCUCCCUCUGAUUCUGCCUCACUUUUAUUUUAGAAUUUUCCACUGCCUCUUCUGGAAUGUGCUUUUUCACCCCUCGAAAUCUGUAGAGAAGAAAUAAGCAGAAACUGAAAUGGCUUUCUGGUGUUAAAUGCUCUCAGCUUAGUGGAAAAUCGAGCGUUGGGCUCGAGGCUGGACUUUUGCGGAGAGCACUGCAAUAGUGCUGUGGCCUUGCCUUUCUUUCUCAUCACCCGGGUACAGUCCUGCAGUCCUCAGAGGAUGCCAGUCCCACACAGGGGGAUCCUCCUCCGCAGGAAAACCGAGGAACAAUGCAGGUUCGAUGUGUAAGAUGGCCAAGCACAUUCAAUCUUCGAGAUCUUUCCUCCCAAACCCUAAUGCUACCUCAAGAUGGGCUGCUGCCUGCUACCAUUUCAACAUCGAGUCCUUUAAGGUGCCACCUGAGAGAGAGACGGGAAGCGAGAGGCCAAGAAAAAUGAAAGGUAAGCACGAGACCAGUGGAAUGAGUGGGGAGAUCCGUCUGUCCGUCUGUCUGUCUGUCUGUCUGUCCGUCUGUCUGUCUGUCUGUCUGUUUGUUUGUUUGUUUGAAGUGUCUUCUGCUUGGCUGAGGUUAUCGCUCUUCAG
rnacentral:lncRNA from 10 species